rnacentral:lncRNA from 10 species
GAGAGCUCCCGGGUUGGCAGACGCAUCCGUGUGCAUCCCAACUCCAUAGGGACAGAAGCUCCUGUGCUCAGGAGCCUUCCAGGCCUCUGUGUGUUUCUUCAUCUGGCUGUUCGUCUGAACCAUAUAUGGAGGGCACAUGAUGAGUAAUUUUCACCAGCAUCUGUUUUUCAAACUAGGAAUUCCACCUUGAAUGAUGAAAGUGUCUUCAGAACUGUCAUCAAAUAAUUACUCAUCCACCCAGCUGUGGAAGACUGGGCACUGCCAUUUGCCAAGUGCAGGAAAAGCUCUGAGAAACAGGAUAACUGAGGGCAACCCCUGACACGAUAAAGUCUGGCAGAGAAGAGAGAAAAGAAAAAUGCCAGCCAAAUACAUAAACUAAGUACAUUUCACCGUGAUGUGCUUCUGCAUGGAGUAAACAGUAAAAUGCAACAAUUACACCAGACCCAGCCUCUCCUUUUUUGGAGGGAGGCGAUGGUUUUGAAAUAGUAAUCAAUCUUUAAAACUGGUAUACAGAGCAUGUGCUAAUGUGUGACAUGUAUGGCUGACGAAGAGACUGAAACAGAUUUUCCUUUGCCUUCUUCUCUGUAACACUGAAUAUGAUGUACAUAAGAUAAUCCUAUAGAAAAUGCACAGCAAAAAAAUGUUUUGCUAAAAAAAAAAUAAAUAAAUAAAUAAAAAUAAAAAAGCUU